GCUCUCUGGUUUCUCUUCAGAUCAUAUCAAUCUUUUGCCUUUUACAAAUGAUUUCCAUGGAGAGGAACUUGUGAAUUUCACUACAUAUAGAUACUUAACUCCUAGUCCAGUUAACA